AACGGGCAACGUUAGUGACACUUUGAGGUUUCUACUCGGCUCUCUGGUGAGGGGUUGAGCUAGCCUCAUGUGAGCUAGCGGGUAGCUACUUUUGAAUUCGAGGCAUAGUUUUCUUCAGUUCUGUGUCGCCUUGGACAUCAAGAGUAAGUUAACUUGGCUAUCUGUUAAGUGUGAAGUGUGUUCACGUUUCUUUAACAUCGUCGAUGUAACGUAGGUUGUCGGUUUCUGUGUUGAAAGAGCCAACAUUAGCUUACUUUACACAUGUUAGCCCAGGUAAUGUUUAGCUAACGCUCGUGUUAUAGGUUCAUUAGUGGCAGGUGGGUUAAGACACCUGAGGGGUCACGUGCUACACACUUCAUCUAAUAACCACGAUUUUAUUGAAGUGCUUUGAAACUGGUUCCAAGCAGACAUGUGUAGACAAGCUCACAAAUACCGGAGCGGUCAGUCCGGACAGUCACGUGACCAGACACGUUAUUGUACGUGUCUGUUCACGUGACGUCGGGACUCUGUUCACGUGACCGCUAUAAACUGCGCUGUGUCAUAUGCUGUCGGGACUGCUGUUCACGUGACGCUCUUAACGUGAUGCUGUUGCCGUGGUCGGGACUCUGUUCACGUGACUGUUGUUAACAUGACGCUUAUAACUGCGCUGUGUCAUAUGCUGUCGGGACUCUGUUCACGUGACGCUCUUUACGUGAUGCUGUUGACGUGGUCGGGACUCUGUUCACGUGACACUCUUAACUUGAUGCUGUUGAUGUGGUCGGGACUCUGUUCACGUGACUGUUGUUGACAUGACGCGUAUAACUGCGCUGUGGCGGACAUGACAGCUCACAGCUCCUCAGAAGCUCCGUGAGCUGUCCAGUGAGGGGAUGGUUUCAUGAUCAAAUCUUCAUUUACUGUCCACAUUAUCAGAUGAGGACGUCACCAAAGAGUGUCCUUUGAGUCAAUGUUUACAUUUAUGUCAUUAAGAAGUAGAACAUUUAGUUACCCAUGAUCGGAUACAAGUUGUCAAGGAUAAACGGAAAGAGAAUCAUGUCAGCCCACAGACAACCGGUUGACCUGUGAGUCUUCAAGCAGUAAUGAUGACUACGCCUUAAGUUCCAGUUUCCUGAACAUCAUGUCGGCAUGAGAUUCUGUCCCCACCUGUCUUCAGUCUGGACCCAAUGAUUCGGACACCAGUCUUGUCGAGGCUAAAUUGAGAUCAAGCAUUGACGGGAAAACACCCAAAGUCCAUCACUCAUGCACCGAGGAUCUGGCUGAUUACUGGAAAUUAGGAAGAUUGUUCUUUAUCUGCACUGUCACUUCUGGUAAAUAUUUAUGGACCUUUUGCGGUAUGUUUUGCUUUGACUUAUCAACUGAUGGUGAAUAAUUGGUUGAUUUUGAAAAUGUACAUUAAAUAAAAUGUUUUAAAAUCAA